rnacentral:rRNA from 1 species
GCUUAACACAUGCAAGUCGAGCGGUAAGGCCCUUCGGGGUACACGAGCGGCGAACGGGUGAGUAACACGUGGGUGAUCUGCCUCGCACUCUGGGAUAAGCCUGGGAAACUGGGUCUAAUACCGGAUAUGACCACCGAUCGCAUGGUUGGUGGUGGAAAGAUUUAUCGGUGCGAGAUGGGCCCGCGGCCUAUCAGCUUGUUGGUGGGGUAAUGGCCUACCAAGGCGACGACGGGUAGCCGGCCUGAGAGGGCGACCGGCCACACUGGGACUGAGACACGGCCCAGACUCCUACGGGAGGCAGCAGUGGGGAAUAUUGCACAAUGGGCGAAAGCCUGAUGCAGCGACGCCGCGUGAGGGAUGACGGCCUUCGGGUUGUAAACCUCUUUCGACAGGGACGAAGCGCAAGUGACGGUACCUGUAGAAGAAGCACCGGCCAACUACGUGCCAGCAGCCGCGGUAAUACGUAGGGUGCGAGCGUUGUCCGGAAUUACUGGGCGUAAAGAGCUUGUAGGCGGUUCGUCGCGUCGAUCGUGAAAACGUGCAGCUCAACUGCACGCUUGCGGUCGAUACGGGCGGACUAGAGUACUGCAGGGGAGACUGGAAUUC